UUAAAUUCAUCUGAUCAAAUUGGAUUUGUGAUAUGUCACAACUCAUAGUGUGAUUCAUGGACCAAGCUUUUUAUGUGAAAGACAUCAUGCCAUAUUAAAUUCUGGAUCUGAGAUGAUCAAUCCAUUAGGCAACCAUCAGACAAAG